GUGAAUCAUCAAAUUUUUGAACGCAAAUUGCACUCUCCUCGGAGAGGAGGCCUGUUUGAGUGUCAGCCUAUAAAAAAUCGACAUCGUUGCUGUUUCGCGGUGGCGUUCGUCGGAAAUUGGGUCAUCUUAAAUCUUUGGGUUGUAAGCGACUUAAAAUUUUCUAUUUGGUUCCAUGAACGUUUCUAAGAUGUAUUUCUUUACACGUUUAAGGUAUCGAUUUUUAUUAGUCGUGACGAUCAUAUCGUAUCGCGCCCAUA
rnacentral:misc_RNA from 1 species